rnacentral:lncRNA from 1 species
UGGACAUCUCCGCAUAGACGAGUAAGUGUUUCGAAUACCUGGUAUUUCUUGACUUCGAUAGGCGGUUGUCCAGGGCCGAAGGACUUGGUGGCAACUGCACUUCCUUCUUCGACGAUGUAGAAGACAUCUCCGAGUUCUCCCUGUCGGACGAUGUACGCUCCAUCGGUGAACAUUUCCGUGCGCAGAGCGUCGGCGACUUUCCCGCGUUCGUACGCGUCCAUUCCGUCGAGGAUGUGGACGCUCUUCAGGAAAGAGUCGUACAUGGAUCGCCGCUUCGUCGCCGCGUCUUUGACGAUGGCGUUGAACGUGUCUCGACCAAGCUCCCACAAAUCGCAUGCACUCACGCUGGUCACUGUCGCAGCUCGAGGCGCGUUGUAGAGGAGCGCCAGUUCGCCGAACGCGUCUCCUGGUCCGACGACCUUCACCACUCUCUCUUCUCCGUCGAUCAGCUUCGAACAGUUCAACUCGCCGCUCUGGACGAUGUACAGACACUCGCCGUCGUCGCCUUCGCGAAUUAAGCACGUGCUCGCUUCGAUUUUCUUCUCCUGCAUUGCCAGAAUCACCGUGUUCAGAUCCUUCUCGUCCAGGCUGUUGAACAGGAACGACUGGCGCAGAAUGCGCUGCACAGCCGCAGGCACAUACCGGAGAAGUCCACUGAAAAAGUCUUUCGCGCAAAACACACCGCAGAGCACAUUUCUCGAUUAUCAGCGAAGGGAACACGCUAGUGAGGAAAGCGGCGUCAAACCGCUUCCUUCCGCGACUCCGAGUGUUUCUUUCGCUCUUCCCACCUCAAGUUGCUCCUUCUGGCCUUCAUCCUUCUCAUAGACGGGUGCAACAAAGUUUUUCUUCUUGUUCCACUCGCCAUACACCUCCGCGGAGACCGAGCACCGCAUUUUAUUCAGGUUCUUGAAUCUGGACAUCACCGCUUCGUCGUCGUCAAAGACGUCGUCGUCGUGCUCGUCGUCAGAGUCGUCCGACUCGUGCGUCUCUGCGGGGCUCCCGUCGACGCCGUUUUUCUGCAGAUUUUUCAGUUGCUCGCGCAACAGGCCGAUCUCGACUUUCAACUCCUCAGCUUCAUUCUUCCCGCCUGCCGCGCCUGAGACAGAAAUGAAGGAAAGAGAAGCGCAAAGUAUAUGCGCAGGACAGAAAGGAAGUCUAAGUAACGGUCAUGGAGGCGUCAAGUGGGAUUGACAGACGCAGGAGCUGAGUGGCUGACCGCGCCUGGAGUCCCUGGGAGAUGGAUGAGGGAAGGAGAUCACGUGGAUGUCGAAACGACAAGGAACAAGGAACCUCAACAGAGCGUUUCUGCAUAGAGAUCAUGCAUUUGUGUGUGUCAGAUGCAACACACAUCUACACAUUCUGCACAGAUGCUUCUUAGUGGGUGGGUCAUGGCGGGAUUCAAUGCAUUAUCCGUUCCAAGUGGACUGUCAAGUCCCGACAAAGGGCCAGGCUCGCUCCCAGUUGUUAUGGAUCUGUUCAGAGAUGUUUGUUUGUUUCAUCACACACGGGAUUCUCCUGGGUUGAGAGAUUUCUUGGAAGAGUUUGGUGCCUCCGUUGUCUUUGCCUUCUGCUUGUUUGGUGUAUCUUCGCGGAACCAUGCGGUCAUUUGAACAUUUCGUCAGCAAAAAUGCAGAAAACGUGAGUCGCUGCCAAAAUACGUGUCUGUGUAUGUGUGUGUGUGUGUGGGCGACACAAGAAGACUGUUCGUUGCAACACAUAUUGCGUGUUACCGCAUAGGGAGAGGUGGGACCUGAGAGAAAGAAUCUAUUGUAGGUGGUGGAAAACGAGUUCAUACUCUCGAACCAGCAAUGUUGCUUUGAGUCUUCGUACCUGCAACCGGAUCGGGGAUUCCAGCGCGCUGACAAAGCCGAGAAAUCAUGAAGGUGACUGGGUCAUCAGGGUGUUCGAGGAGAACCUCGACGACGAGCCCCUCAAGAACGGGGUUCAACUUGGUGUUGAUGUACUCUUGGUACACUGCGGUUGCACCGGCCAUUUUGGAGGUGGAGAAGGGAGCAGUUGCUUCCAGGGAAAGGGAUGAAAACGUCAAAUGAUGUCGCUACAGUGACUCACCAGCCCUGUCACUUCGCCGACUGGGUUGAACAGAUUCUAAAACAGAAUAACCUCCCGCUAGUCGACGCCGUACAGUCGCUUUGACGGCAGCUUCCCACACAUGCGCAUACACAUGUGGAUGAAAAAGUCGAAGGCCCCUGCUGGCAUCAACGUGUAUGGAUCCAAUAUGGAAAGAGGUAUGCGAGCAUCUGUGUAUCUUUUUUCUGCGGGUGAGGUCGUUGUCGACGAUGCGCCUGGUGCAGCCGUUUCCCGUGUUCGGUGUUUGCUUGGAACUAUGAAGCGGAAAAUGUUGCCUCACGACAGAGAGAGAGAUCUAGUUUCUCCAGAGGAGCUCUUUCUCCCGGCGUUUUGGUGUGACUGUCCCGGUCUUUCUUUUCCUUUCUCGAUUUCCGCCCUCUGUGUCAAUAUACGCAGCGCGUGUUCCCAAAAGAUUCAGAACCGGGAUGCGAGACGAUGAGAAUCGUCUUGUCGACCUAGCGUUCGUGAUUUUUCGCAUAAAAAAGAAAGCCCGUGCAUCUUGCGGUGGAGCGCCAUGGAAAAGGUUAGGCGUUUCCAGGUUUUUCUCUGAAUCGCCCGCCGACUCGAAACAAGCAACUCAGAUGCAAGUGUGGGCACGUGGGGCUAGC